rfam:Schistosoma curassoni strain Dakar, Senegal genome assembly, scaffold: SCTD_scaffold0000414
AUCCAGCUGACGAGUCCCAACUGGGAUGAAACGCACGUCCUGGAU